rnacentral:rRNA from 1 species
GACGAACGCUGGCGGCGUGCCUAAUACAUGCAAGUUGAGCGAUGAAGAUUGGUGCUUGCACCAAUUUGAAGAGCAGCGAACGGGUGAGUAACGCGUGGGGAAUCUGCCUUUGAGCGGGGGACAACAUUUGGAAACGAAUGCUAAUACCGCAUAACAACUUUAAACAUAAGUUUUAAGUUUGAAAGAUGCAAUUGCAUCACUCAAAGAUGAUCCCGCGUUGUAUUAGCUAGUUGGUGAGGUAAAGGCUCACCAAUGCGAUGAUACAUAGCCGACCUGAGAGGGUGAUCGGCCACAUUGGGACUGGGACACGGCCCAAACUCCUACGGGAGGCAGCAGGAGGGAAUCUUCGGCAAUGGACGAAAGGCUGAACGAGCAACGCCGGGGGAGGGAAGAAGGGUCUCGGAUCGUAAAACUCUGUUGGUAGGGAAGAACGUGGGUGAGAGUGGAAAGCUCAUCAAGUGACGGUAACUACCCAGAAAGGGACGGCUAACUACGUG